UGCGGCUUGCCUAUACAUGCAAGUCGAACGAACUCUGGUAUUGAUUGGUGCUUGCAUCAUGAUUUACAUUUGAGUGAGUGGCGAACUGGUGAGUAACACGUGGGAAACCUGCCCAGAAGCGGGGGAUAACACCUGGAAACAGAUGCUAAUACCGCAUAACAACUUGGACCGCAUGGUCCGAGCUUGAAAGAUGGCUUCGGCUAUCACUUUUGGAUGGUCCCGCGGCGUAUUAGCUAGAUGGUGGGGUAACGGCUCACCAUGGCAAUGAUACGUAGCCGACCUGAGAGGGUAAUCGGCCACAUUGGGACUGAGACACGGCCCAAACUCCUACGGGAGGCAGCAGUAGGGAAUCUUCCACAAUGGACGAAAGUCUGAUGGAGCAACGCCGCGUGAGUGAAGAAGGGUUUCGGCUCGUAAAACUCUGUUGUUAAAGAAGAACAUAUCUGAGAGUAACUGUUCAGGUAUUGACGGUAUUUAACCAGAAAGCCACGGCUAACUACGUGCCAGCAGCCGCGGUAAUACGUAGGUGGCAAGCGUUGUCCGGAUUUAUUGGGCGUAAAGCGAGCGCAGGCGGUUUUUUAAGUCUGAUGUGAAAGCCUUCGGCUCAACCGAAGAAGUGCAUCGGAAACUGGAAAACUUGAGUGCAGAAGAGGACAGUGGAACUCCAUGUGUAGCGGUGAAAUGCGUAGAUAUAUGGAAGAACACCAGUGGCGAAGGCGGCUGUCUGGUCUGUAACUGACGCUGAGGCUCGAAAGUAUGGGUAGCAAACAGGAUUAGAUACCCUGGUAGUCCAUACCGUAAACGAUGAAUGCUAAGUGUUGGAGGGUUUCCGCCCUUCAGUGCUGCAGCUAACGCAUUAAGCAUUCCGCCUGGGGAGUACGGCCGCAAGGCUGAAACUCAAAGGAAUUGACGGGGGCCCGCACAAGCGGUGGAGCAUGUGGUUUAAUUCGAAGCUACGCGAAGAACCUUACCAGGUCUUGACAUACUAUGCAAAUCUAAGAGAUUAGACGUUCCCUUCGGGGACAUGGAUACAGGUGGUGCAUGGUUGUCGUCAGCUCGUGUCGUGAGAUGUUGGGUUAAGUCCCGCAACGAGCGCAACCCUUAUUAUCAGUUGCCAGCAUUAAGUUGGGCACUCUGGUGAGACUGCCGGUGACAAACCGGAGGAAGGUGGGGAUGACGUCAAAUCAUCAUGCCCCUUAUGACCUGGGCUACACACGUGCUACAAUGGAUGGUACAACGAGUUGCGAACUCGCGAGAGUAAGCUAAUCUCUUAAAGCCAUUCUCAGUUCGGAUUGUAGGCUGCAACUCGCCUACAUGAAGUCGGAAUCGCUAGUAAUCGCGGAUUCAGCAGCCGUC
rnacentral:rRNA from 1 species